ACCCCUUUUUAGCUUACGUGGCAC
rnacentral:miRNA from 1 species